rnacentral:rRNA from 1 species
CGCAUUAAGUUCCCCGCCUGGGGGAGUACGGCCGCAAGGCUAAAACUCAAAGGAAUUGACGGGGACCCGCACAAGCGGCGGAGCAUGCGGAUUAAUUCGAUGCAACGCGAAGAACCUUACCAAGGCUUGACAUAUACGAGAACGCUGCAGAAAUGUAGAACUCUUUGGACACUCGUAAACAGGUGGUGCAUGGUUGUCGUCAGCUCGUGUCGUGAGAUGUUGGGUUAAGUCCCGCAACGAGCGCAACCCCUCGUUCUAUGUUGCCAGCACGUAAUGGUGGGAACUCAUGGAAUACUGCCGGGGUCAACUCGGAGGAAGGUGGGGAUGACGUCAAAUCAUCAUGCCCCUUAUGUCUUGGGCUUCACGCAUGCUACAAUGGCCGGUACAAUGGGCUGCAAUACCGUAAGGUGGAGCGAAUCCCAAAAAGCCGGUCCCAGUUCGGAUUGAGGUCUGCAACUCGACCUCAUGAAGUCGGAGUCGCUAGUAAUCGCAGAUCAGCAACGCUGCGGU